CUUUAUCUUUAUUGAGCAAUUCCUUAACAUAUGUAGGAAAACACUAAUUGGAUGGCGGCCACAAAUAGUAUUGUCAUACUCCUGCAAAUACUGUUUAAAUGCAUCAGGAUCCCCUGUUUCUAUUAUAUCCAUACCCAUCUUGUCCAAUGCCUCAAUAGAUUUGUGUAUAGCCCCAUGUUUCUUGUCAUAGUGCAUAUAAUUGAACCGAGACCCCCAGUGACAAAAAUCUGAGGAGACGGAAAAGAAAUUGGACGGAUCAUCUACAUAUUUUGCUAACAACUUUCCAUACAUAGCUUCACUAUCAGCAUUAACAGCACCAACCAAUAUGGGCACAACUUUUACCUGAUGCC
rnacentral:misc_RNA from 1 species